UGGUUGAGGGUGCUGAGAAGGUGAACCUCAGAGUAUAGCCUCUGCAAGUUCUCAGGCGAGCGAAGCAACUCAUUGAGUUUUACCUGGUUCCAUGCCACCUCCAUUCCUAGGACUUCAUCAAUUGCCUUGUAUACUGUUUUCAUUGCUCCUUUUCCAAGAAUUUGUUCAAACCGACCAUACCGGCCCGUAGGAUCGGUUUCAACAUAGCCAUGGUC
rnacentral:misc_RNA from 1 species